rnacentral:lncRNA from 1 species
AUGGGAGCGAGUGUCAGAGUGGAGGGAAAGAACGGCCCAUCACAGGUAGAAGCCAGUGCCACAGAACGAGCUUCUGCAGAAAGAAGGGGCACUGUUACGGGCUGGGCGGCAGGGUCAGGCGCCGUGGGCGCGUCUGUCUCCCCAGUCAGCGGUAGCCGAGGAGUUCAGCGGCCUGAGCCGGGGACAGGAGGGCUGACUGGUCAUAGCCGGGAGUCCCAGUGGGCUCGUCUCACCCCGUGCCCAGGUCCAGCUGGAGCCUCUGCUCCUUGUGGCAUGGGGACCUCCAGGCCCUGUUACCGCGGUCCACCCUCAGUUCGCAGUCUGGGCAAGAGGCCCUCGUCUUACCCUUCAGAGUCUGCAGGGCUUCAGGGGCUUUUCAGGUCAGGCCCUGGCACUCUGCAGCUGUGCCCUGAAAACAGCCGUCACUGUGGGUGUGAUCAGAGGCCCGGCCUAGCGGCUCAGGGUCAGAGGGGCAGGACCAGGAGGGCCUCAGGGAGGGGCUACAGCCGGAGUGGGGUGGCUCUCCUGCGCAAGGCCACCAUAGGGAGCAGCUUGUCACAGGCCCAGUGUCAGGCGCAGCUACCUGCCCUGUGGCCUGGAGACGUGGGAGGGACAGCAGACAGCCCUGAGCUUCGGCCCCAGCUUCGCUGGCACCGGGACCUUUGCCCGCUGUCCCCAGGACUGGGGGGCAGAGGACCCAGAGCUGCUGUGGGCCGGGUCAGAGGCCACGGCAGAGGGCUUCGUGCUCCAGGCUGCACUCACCGGCACCCCGACCCUGGUGGAGGAGGAGCCUGGGGAGCCCGGAGGCCUGGAUGCAGGAGUGUCGUUCCUGCAACAGUGGCAGCAGGCCUGGGGCUGGCCUUGGUCCUCAUGGGGCUGCAGCAAGCAGAGGGAACAAUACAACGGGGUUCCAGAGGGAGAUUCAACUCACUUCGUGCAAAAUCCACCGCUUUGAAGUGUGGUCCGUGGCUCUCAUUAUAGUCGUACUGCUGUCUGACUCCAGCACGCGCCCGUCACCCCCAGAGCCAAUGUGUGGUUUGAAUGCCACCUGCACCGCUCUUGUUGGAGUCCAUCCGCCGCUGUGACCGUGCGAGGGGCGGACUCAAGCCCUUGCGCGUGGUCACCGUUGCUCCCGGCCCCACAGCUGGUCCGGACAGCCGCAGGGAGGACCUUGGCAGACACCGCCCGGCGGUCCGGGCUUCCCGCCUGCAGGGCUGAUCAUCAGCGUGUGUGGUCCGUGAAUGAUCCUGUCUGCGGCGCUCUGCUGUGGCAGCUGGAGGCAGAGGCCCUCGCCACACUUUGGUCCCCUUCCUCUGGGCCCGGCACCCUCGCAGCUCCUGUCCUCUGUGGGUCUGCCUGGCCUGGGUAUUUCAUGGAGGCUGAGUCCUUCUGGCUCCUUUCACUGUGCCACGUGUUUCCGAGGUCCAUCCUUGGCUGUUUCAAUUAAAUGACAGUGACCAUUCAGUUCCUGGUGGUGCCGGUCACAUUUCCGGGGCUGCGUGGAUGCCUCUCCCUGCUGCCCUGUGGGACGGCUCCGUCAUCACACGGACAUCUCUGGGCCCGACGGGCAGGGACUUGUGGUGCACACUCAGGCCCCGAGUGCCAUGAUGGACCCAGCAGUGACCCCCUAGUCCCAGACUCCGAUAGCAGUCCCGUCCCACCUUGUGGAGAGACCGUCUUUCGGCCAGGCCCCGUCUCUGCUUUCCCUGGGGCUCGGGCCCCCACUUGGGAUGGAAGCGCCAGCUGAGAGGAAAACAAGUUCACUGUCACGGCACAGCCGCCGUGUGGGACACACGAUCUUUCAGAGGAAGCAAAAGAAGCCCUGCGUGUGCAAUUCCACCCUCCAGAAGCAACGGGGCUAAGCAUUCAAAGUGAUGAGUUUCAGGACGGAGUCAGGUGCCACAGAGGGAGAAAAUUGUGUGCAUGUGACAUUCGUGUGUGUGUGUGUGUGUGUGUGUGUGUGAGUGAAUGUGAGUGUGUGCACAAGUGUGAGUGUGUGUGUGAGAGAAUAUGUAUGGGUGUGUGUGACUGACAUUCUAGUGCACGUGAGAGAGUGUGUGAGUGUGUGAGGGUGUGUGUGAGAGUAUGUAUGAGUGUGUGUGUUCAGUUUUCAAGGAGCCUUUUAAACCCUUGAGUUUUCUUUUAUCCCAACCUCCAGUGUCUUUCUAAGGGAGAAUUUAGGUCUUUCCAAAGGCCAUGGGAACACUUGUAUCACCACC